AGCGAACGCUGGCGGCAGGCCUAACACAUGCAAGUCGAACGAACCUUUCGGGGUUAGUGGCGGACGGGUGAGUAACACGUGGGAACGUGCCUUUAGGUUCGGCAUAACUCAGGGAAACUUGUGCUAAUACCGAAUGUGCCCUUCGGGGGAAAGAUUAAUCGCCUUUAGAGCGGCCCGCGUCUGAUUAGCUAGUUGGUUGAGGUAAUGGCUCACCAAGGCGACGAUCAGUAGCUGGUCUGAGAGGAUGAUCAGCCACAUUGGGACUGAGACACGGCCCAAACUCCUACGGGAGGCAGCAGUGGGGAAUCUUGCGCAAUGGGCGAAAGCCUGACGCAGCCAUGCCGCGUGAAUGAUGAAGGUCUUAGGAUUGUAAAAUUCUUUCAACGGGGACGAUAAUGACGGUACCCGGAGAAGAAGCCCCGGCUAACUUCGUG
rnacentral:rRNA from 1 species